rnacentral:rRNA from 1 species
GGUUGCGAUCAUACCAGCACUAAUGCACCGGAUCCCAUCAGAAAUCCGCAGGUAAGCGUGCUUGGGCGAGAGUAGUACUAGGAUGGGUGACCCCCCUGGGAAGUCCUCGUGUUGCAACCC